rnacentral:ncRNA from 2 species
AUGAAAACAUGAGGAGAGACUGCAAUACAUUUGCGAGUUUCACAACCCGUAAAAACAGAAGCUGAGCAAAGCUUUUCUGCAGCGCCGAAGGAGCAAGCGAAUCCGUGAAUCUCUCAGGCAAAAAGACUCUUGUUUGACG